rnacentral:rRNA from 1 species
AGUGAACGCUGGCGGCAGGCCUAACACAUGCAAGUCGAACGGUAGCACAGAGGAGCUUGCUCCUUGGGUGACGAGUGGCGGACGGGUGAGGAAUACAUCGGAAUCUACCCUGUCGUGGGGGAUAACGUAGGGAAACUUACGCUAAUACCGCAUACGAACUGAGGUUGAAAGCGGCGGACCGCAAGGCGUCGCGCGAUUGGAUGAGCCGAUGUCCGAUUAGCUAGUUGGCGGGGUAAUGGCCCACCAAGGCGACGAUCGGUAGCUGGUCUGAGAGGAUGAUCAGCCACACUGGAACUGAGACACGGUCCAGACUCCUACGGGAGGCAGCAGUGGGGAAUAUUGGACAAUGGCGCAAGCCUGAUCCAGCCAUGCCGCGUGUGUGAAGAAGGCCUCGGUUGUAAGCGACUUUGUUGGGUAAAGG